GCUGCUUUUGAUCAAAUGAGUGCUCAGGAUCAUAAUAUGAGUUAUGUUAACAGGGAUCCUCGUAAUCAAGAUUGCAGCUUUGAUAGACCUCUUGCAACCUCACCACCUGCACAGGCUCAGAUACCGGCUUUCUCCCAAAAUAUUCUAUCAGAAAAGGUGUGGCCUGAAGAGCAUCUGCGAGAGAAGUCGAUGGCAGCAAUUAAAGAAUUUUACAGUGCCAGAGAUGGGAAAGAAGUUGCUUUAUGCAUCAAGGAAUUGAAUUUUCCAAGUUUCCAUCCUUCAAUGAUCGCACUCUGGGUCACAGACUCAUUUGAGAGGAAGGACAUGGAAAGAGAUCUUUUGGCUAAACUUCUUGUCAGUCUUGCAAGGUCUCAGGAUGGGAUAUUAACUCCAUCCCAGC
rnacentral:misc_RNA from 1 species